rnacentral:rRNA from 1 species
CGAGGGGCAGCAUGGUCUUAGCUUGCUAAGACUGAUGGCGACCGGCGCACGGGUGCGUAACGCGUAUGCAACUUGCCUCACAGAGGGGGAUAACCCGUCGAAAGACGGACUAAUACCGCGUACACUUACUGGAGGGCAUCCUUUGGUAAGGAAAUGAAUUUCGCUGUGAGAUAGGCAUGCGUCCCAUUAGCUAGUUGGUGAGGUAACGGCUCACCAAGGCGACGAUGGGUAGGGGAACUGAGAGGUUGAACCCCCACACUGGUACUGAGACACGGACCAGACUCCUACGGGAGGCAGCAGUGAGGAAUAUUGGUCAAUGGGCGAGAGCCUGAACCAGCCAAGUCGCGUGAAGGAUGACUGUCUUGUGGAUUGUAAACUUCUUUUAUACGGGAAUAACAAGGGUCACGUGUGACCCCCUGCAUGUACCGUAUGAAUAAGCAUCGGCUAACUCCGUGCCAGCAGCCGCGGUAAUACGGAGGAUGCGAGCGUUAUCCGGAUUUAUUGGGUUUAAAGGGUGCGUAGGCGGCCUGUUAAGUCAGCGGUGAAAUCUAGGAGCUUAACUCCUAAAUUGCCAUUGAAACUGGUGGGCUUGAGUGUAGAUGAGGUAGGCGGAAUGCGUGGUGUAGCGGUGGAAUGCAUAGAUAUCACGCAGAACUCCAAUUGCGAAGGCAGCUUACUAAGGUACAACUGACGCUGAAGCACGAAAGCGUGGGUAUCAAACAGGAUUAGAUACCCUGGUAGUCCACGCAGUAAACGAUGAUAACUGGGCGUAUGCGAUAUACAGUAUGCUCCUAAGCGAAAGCGUUAAGUUAUCCACCUGGGGAGUACGCCGGCAACGGUGAAACUCAAAGGAAUUGACGGGGGCCCGCACAAGCGGAGGAACAUGUGGUUUAAUUC